GACGAACGCUGGCGGCGUGCUUAACACAUGCAAGUCGAACGAUGAACUUGGAGCUUGCUCUGGGGGAUUAGUGGCGAACGGGUGAGUAACACGUGAGUAACCUGCCCUGGACUCUGGGAUAACUUCGAGAAAUCGGAGCUAAUACCGGAUAGGACCUUGCACCGCAUGGUGUGGGGUGGAAAGUUUUUCGGUUUGGGAUGGACUCGCGGCCUAUCAGCUUGUUGGUGGGGUAAUGGCUCACCAAGGCGUCGACGGGUAGCCGGCCUGAGAGGGUGACCGGCCACACGGGGACUGAGACACGGCCCCGACUCCUACGGGAGGCAGCAGUGGGGAAUAUUGCACAAUGGGCGCAAGCCUGAUGCAGCAACGCCGCGUGCGGGAUGACGGCCUUCGGGUUGUAAACCGCUUUUAGUAGGGAAGAAGCCUUCGGGUGACGGUACCUGCAGAAAAAGGACCGGCUAACUACGUGCCAGCCGCCGCCGUAACAC
rnacentral:rRNA from 1 species